CUUUUGCUGGCGACCGGCGCACGGGUGAGUAACACGUAUCCAACCUGCCCUUUACUCGGGGAUAGCCUUUCGAAAGAAAGAUUAAUACCCGAUAGCAUAAUGAUUCCGCAUGGUUUCAUUAUUAAAGGAUUCCGGUAAAGGAUGGGGAUGCGUUCCAUUAGGUUGUUGGUGAGGUAACGGCUCACCAAGCCUUCGAUGGAUAGGGGUUCUGAGAGGAAGGUCCCCCACAUUGGACUGAGACACGGCCAA
rnacentral:rRNA from 1 species